rnacentral:rRNA from 1 species
CACGUAGGGGGCAAGCGUUGUCCGGAUUUAUUGGGCGUUAAAGAGCUCGUAGGCUGUUCGAUAAGUCGGGUGUGAAACCUCCAGGCUCAACCUGGAGACGCCACCCGAUACUGUCAUGACUAGAGUCCGGUAGGGGAGCGUGGAAUUCCUGGUGCAGCGUGAAAUGCGCAGAUAUCAGGAGGAACACCAGCGGCGAAGGCGGCGCUCGUGGGCCGGAUACUGACGUGAGGAGCGAAAGCGUGGGUAGCAAACAGG